GAAAGUGUGAUAGUGAUAUUACCCAUUGACAGAUUCUCGAUCACGAGAUUAAAGUCGUUCGAAAUUAACGAGAGAUUGAUGGUUUGUGGGGCGCAAAUGAAACAAAGCAUCAUUAAGAACGGUAUCAGAACGAGCUUUAAGUGAUUCGAAAUAAGAAAAGUAAAGAUCUAAAGCAAAAUCGAAGAUGAUCGAUGAAUCGAUCAAACGAAAAGGAAUUCUUUUGUUACCAUUGUUAUUUCUUACAAAAAUAGACAAAAAGAAGCAAUCGAUCAUCCCUUCGUGUCAUUUCUCUUCGACCAGCCUGUCUUUCAUGGCCAGUAACACGGAAAGAUAUCCAGCUGAUGUUUUCAAUACCUGACGGAAUUGAACCUGAUUGAAAUUGAAGAUUUGAAAUUUUCAAAGAAUCCGUUUUUUCCACUCACAGCGUUGAAAAAUUCAAGGGAGAACGGGCUGAAUUUUCCAGCUGUUAUUUGAAACGACACGUUUGCACGGCGUAUCACGAUCAUUAAUAAAACUGCUCGUCUCGAUGGUAAAUCGUACCAAUUGCAAUGGUACGUUGACUGGCCAAUACCUGUGCUCUGAAAAACCAGUAUUCCAUUUUUCUUUCGGAGAAGAAAAUACUAAAAUAUUAGUUGGAUAAAACACAACUUCUCCGAGAAGAGUUUCUCCCACGUAGCAAUAGAUGAAAAGAUGAAGCAUGGUGUAGAUCACGUGUAUGAUGAAAAAUAUGAUUCCAACUAUCGGCACAUCCGCCUCCUCCCGGUCCACGGACUGGAGGGGAAAAAUUUUGUAAUUUGUAAGAAAAAUUCGAAAUCGAAAUCGUUAAAAAAUUAACAAUAUCGAGUCGUGCGUACGGUUAUCAUGCGAUAUCCGGUCAAGCAGAACAUCGCCGUGCAGAUUAACGUUUGUACGAGCAACGUGAUGUUGAAACAAUCCUCCACUAUCACGGCAAACCUUCGAAACGAAUCAUUUUCUUCAAACAACUUCGAUCAUCCUCAUAACCAAUCUUUCUUAAUUGUGAAUUGUCUCCAAGGAGACAAUUGAUCUCGAAUCUCCUUUUUUAUUAUUAUUAUUAAAAGAAUCAGAAAAUCGAAAGUUAUGGAAUCUCGAUCUUUGCACGAUUUUUUAAUCUUAUCACCCAUCCGUCAUCGUUUCGCACAAUUAUCGAGCUCCCACUUACCGACAAUAUUGAACAAUAUUAGCAAACCUGGACAAAUGGUUGUGCCUGUUCACGAUGGAUCCGAGACGUUCCUCGAACGUUUUGUAAUCGUUCCUGCUCGUGGCGUUGACCAGGUCCUCGAGAGCGGUUCCAAGAACGGUUAAUUGGCCGCACAAGUGUAACACGAGAACCGCAAGGAACGUGUCGAAGCAAGAAUAGCAUAUCGCGGUUAGAACCGUGCCCGUCAAUUGGCCCAGCCAGGUGAUCUCGUAAUUGGGGCUUUUGCUCGUCUCGUAAGGGAACGUGGCGGGGUGAAGCAACCCCCCAAGAUCCGCUUCAGACGCGUUCUCCGCGUUGCUCCAAAUUUGAAGGGAGACGAAGGCGAAAAGCAUGAAAUACGUGAGGGUGGAGCAGACGAUCGAUAUAGUUCGACUGAUCCUCGCGUUUCUCAGCAUCGUUUCGCGAUCUUGCUCGUCGAUCGGCUCGCUCCAAUCGGCCAGCAUUUCGCCGAGCAGUUGGGUAAGAGCUAAACGAAAGUUUGCUUCGAUGUAUCCAAGAUAUUUCUGGUUAAACGUUGCGAAAUGCUUUGUUAAAAUUGUUCGAUUGCGCAACGGCUGAUUAAAGUUAAUUUAUAAAUGAUUUUUGUAAUAUUUGUAAUUUUAGAGAAUUAAUUAAAAAGUUAAAUAAAAUAGAAAAUCAAA